CGCUAAUGACCAGGUAACGCUUGAUUGACAACCCUGACACAAUCUAUGAAAAGUCAAUUGACCACACCGGCGAUGCUUUAAUGCGUCCUCUUGAAUUGCUGUAUGUUAUGUGUCGGCACUGACUCGGCAGGAGCUUGUAAUGACUUGGGGCACAGACCAGCUGAUUGUCAAAACUUGGAGCGCGCUUCCUGUCACAUAGCGCACACCGCGGCGUGUGAGAAUCGCCGAAUCGAGCAUUUUUGGCUCCACGUAUGCUUGCAGUUGUUUGCUCACAUCUAAAAAAAAAAAAAAAAAAAAACAACAACAUCAAGACCAACCUACGAUUGCAUUUAACGGAUGGACGCCGCAACGCCUGCAUGAAGCUGAACCUCACCACGUAUCAGCAAGACUACAAAGCCAUCAGCAAAACCGUGCCUUACUAGAAGUCGCAUCAAUGACAUGCGCAACAUCAGAUUGGAUUUGGAAGAAUCCUUUACGGACCGACAGGACUAGACCGCCGUAUCCACAGUACAAUGACGAUCUUCGUGCUGCAUUGGACAAGAGGUUUUAAUUGGAUGCAGCAGUCGUGGAUUAGUAGUGGGAAGAAAAAAAGUAACAGCUGUGGAGACACAAAACGAACUGACGUGAGCUCGUAGUGUCGUGUACAUAUACUGAAACUCAAUCGCUAGCGCCCCCUGGAAUGUUAGAACGCCGUCAUGGUGGUCACACGUGAUAUGCAGUGGUUCGUUGAGAUACUGUACGAGCGACCCGACUUGUACAUUUUCCGAGAUGCAAGCCGUCGUUCUGCAGAUUUUUUUCGCUUUGAGUUGCAGACAAAAAAUUGGACACACCAGCGCUGUAUGGUGGCAACGAACUCAACUCAACUCACUUCACAACACGCAAUCAUUUGACAGAUAAGGAACAAUUCUUACAAAAUGAGGAUUCGAUCUGUUCAAAUCCACUCCCAGUCGAAGUUUAUAGUCAAAGUGAACAUAAGAUGAGUAUUUAAAACAACAUUUUUAAAUACCAAUUUAAUUUUUUCACCUCAGGCGCCUGACAAAGGUGAAAAGGUGUGGGUUUUUUUUACACAGCAGCAGUGUGAAACAGUAAUUAAUGCCUUCAUCACACCUUGAUAUAGAUUAUUAUAAUGCACUUAACUUUGGAGUCAGCCAGUCCUUCCUCAAAGUUGAGCUCCAAAUUUUGAUGGUGUUUUCACUGUAGCGUACUGCCAAGAAAGCUAAUAAAAUGACCCUUUCCCAUUAAAAGCCAACGUUGUUUGACCUCCGACGAUAUCAUUACUCCCUCCCUUAGAAGCGCACGAUGCCAAAAUCCAGACUGUUAUGAUUCAUGCCUCCCACACAGGAAAUUGCGGAGCCAAAAGACAUUUCCUCUGAGAAUAUUUUUUUUUUUUUUAUCUGUAGAAAACAGCUGUUGGACUAUCCCAAUGUUCCGAAACAGAAACACUUAUCUUUGAAGCAUUUGCGGAAAAUGAUUAAUAUCUUCAUUAUCAGAAAUCAGCUUUGGCAUUUAUAGUGUGUACGUAUAUAUAUAUAUAUAUUUCAAAGUCUUCAACUAUCCGUCACCUGUAAG